AUUGAACGCUGGCGGCAUGCCUUACACAUGCAAGUCGAACGGCAGCACGGGGGCAACCCUGGUGGCGAGUGGCGAACGGGUGAGUAAUACAUCGGAACGUGCCCAGUAGUGGGGAUAGCCCGGCGAAAGCCGGAUUAAUACCGCAUGCGACCUACGGGUGAAAGCGGGGGAUCGCAAGACCUCGCGCUGUUGGAGCGGCCGAUGUCAGAUUAGGUUGUUGGUGGGGUAAAGGCCUACCAAGCCGACGAUCUGUAGCUGGUCUGAGAGGACGACCAGCCACACUGGGACUGAGACACGGCCCAGACUCCUACGGGAGGCAGCAGUGGGGAAUUUUGGACAAUGGGGGCAACCCUGAUCCAGCCAUGCCGCGUGCGGGAAGAA
rnacentral:rRNA from 1 species